GAGGCAGUCCAGCCGCAGGGGCCACCCGAACAGUCUCUCCUCCUCACAGAAGCCUGCCUUCAUCUCCUCGUCCUCCAGGCAGCACAAGCCAUUGUGGAAUCUCCACCAGGUGUACAGAACGGUGCCUCUGCGUCCUGCCACUCAGGACCUCUCAAGUCCCCGAUGUGAUGGCUCCUCAGCAUGAUCAGGAGUGAGCGUAAUUCAGACCUAUUUAGAUCCGUCAGCCCACGGACCAGGGGGACCUUGAGCAGGACAGUCUUUUGUCUCCAAGCAGUCAUUCCCUGUUAUACAAGCAAGAGUCAGGAGGAGGAAUGGUUUUGGCAUCAUCCCCCACAGACAGCAAUGGGGCCUUUAGGCCUGGAAGGAAGGACCAGGCUGCGGCUGGCAUAUGGAGGUUGAGCCCUGGGCACGGGGCAUCAGCUUCACCCGGCUGGGGAUGCCUUCUGCUGGGUUUGUCCAUCUGGCACCAGCUGGCUUCCCAGCACCGCCCCCACAACCAACCAGACUCCUCCUUCUGCUGUUGCCAUGGCAAUUGGCUGCCAUAUUGUACCUCAGAGCACUAGCUCCUAUCUGGAUUUUCCCGCGGGGUUCCUAGAGGGUGGGAGAUGGGUCUCCAGGGAUUUAUCCCUUUCCCCUGAUAUCUAUCCAAUAAAAAUUCAUAAUAACAUAUGA
rnacentral:lncRNA from 1 species